GGAUGAAAAAAAAAAAAAAACUACUGCCUUUCAUUUCUCUACUCUUCCGACAACUCUGAGAACAAUGGUUCCUGAGAGUGACAAUAUCUGAGGAAAGAGCAGGUCCUGCAACCAACGAGAAAUUCUCCUGCAGCAUUUCAAAGCAGGCAAGAUGGAGAGUAUUUGAGCGGUCAAAUAGAGGAUAUGAGAAGAAAAAAAGAAUAACUUCUAUGUGGAAAAAAUUUCGGUUACGGAGUAUCAUCCUCUUUAUUUAGGGCUGGAAGAGAUGUUUAUUGAAUUUUUCAUACUACUUAAAUCUGAACUAGCUCGCAAACGGUGUUGAUAAAAUCAAACAUGCUAUUAGCCUUGAUGUCUAUACAGGUGGGCAUGCAUGAAAUCUUUAUAGACUUCAUUUCAGAUAUGAUGCUGUUCCUUAUAUAAUUAUUACUACCUUUUGAUAUUUUCCUAGGUGCCAGACACUUUACAUACCUUAUCUCGGCUAGUUGUCAAACUCUUGUAAUCCUGUUUAGCAGAUGAGGACUAUACAUCCUAAAGAGAUAAAGUAACUUGCUUAAGGUGCCUAGAGUACACCCAGUUCUUUUGACUCUAAAAUCUUUUCCAAUAUGACACCAGCAUUUCCCAAAAUUCCUGUUUUAUUGGUAUAUCAUUAUGGGUUAAACAGAAAGUUUGAUUUCAUAUAUAUGUAUAUAUGUUAUAUAUGUGUGUGCAUAUAUGUUCAUAAUAUAUACAUGUUUAUAUAUUACUUCCACUUAUAUACGUGUAGUGCCUUGAGAGCUUGCAUCACAAUUUACCCUCUUGCCCCAAAG
rnacentral:lncRNA from 10 species